GUUCUCCCUGACUCCUUGAGAGUCCUGAAGGAACGUUGAAGACGACGACGUUGAUAGGCCGGGUGUGUAAGCGCAGCGAUGCGUUGAGCUAACCGGUACUAAUGAACCGUGAGGCUUAACCUUACAACGCCGAAG
rnacentral:rRNA from 1 species